GCGAACGGGUGAGUAACACGUGAGUAACCUGCCCUUAACUCUGGGAUAAGCCUGGGAAACUGGGUCUAAUACCGGAUAUGACUCCUCAUCGCAUGGUGGGGGGUGGAAAGCUUUAUUGUGGUUUUGGAUGGACUCGCGGCCUAUCAGCUUGUUGGUGAGGUAAUGGCUCACCAAGGCGACGACGGGUAGCCGGCCUGAGAGGGUGACCGGCCACACUGGGACUGAGACACGGCCCAGACUCCUACGGGAGGCAGCAGUGGGGAAUAUUGCACAAUGGGCGAAAGCCUGAUGCAGCGACGCCGCGUGAGGGAUGACGGCCUUCGGGUUGUAAACCUCUUUCAGUAGGGAAGAAGCGAAAGUGACGGUACCUGCAGAAGAAGCGCCGGCUAACUACGUGCCAGCAGCCGCGGUAAUACGUAGGGCGCAAGCGUUAUCCGGAAUUAUUGGGCGUAAAGAGCUCGUAGGCGGUUUGUCGCGUCUGCCGUGAAAGUCCGGGGCUCAACUCCGGAUCUGCGGUGGGUACGGGCAGACUAGAGUGAUGUAGGGGAGACUGGAAUUCCUGGUGUAGCGGUGAAAUGCGCAGAUAUCAGGAGGAACACCGAUGGCGAAGGCAGGUCUCUGGGCAUUAACUGACGCUGAGGAGCGAAAGCAUGGGGAGCGAACAGGAUUAGAUACCCUGGUAGUCCAUGCCGUAAACGUUGGGCACUAGGUGUGGGGGACAUUCCACGUUUUCCGCGCCGUAGCUAACGCAUUAAGUGCCCCGCCUGGGGAGUACGGCCGCAAGGCUAAAACUCAAAGGAAUUGACGGGGGCCCGCACAAGCGGCGGAGCAUGCGGAUUAAUUCGAUGCAACGCGAAGAACCUUACCAAGGCUUGACAUGAACCGGUAAUACCUGGAAACAGGUGCCCCGCUUGCGGUCGGUUUACAGGUGGUGCAUGGUUGUCGUCAGCUCGUGUCGUGAGAUGUUGGGUUAAGUCCCGCAACGAGCGCAACCCUCGUUCUAUGUUGCCAGCGCGUUAUGGCGGGGACUCAUAGGAGACUGCCGGGGUCAACUCGGAGGAAGGUGGGGACGACGUCAAAUCAUCAUGCCCCUUAUGUCUUGGGCUUCACGCAUGCUACAAUGGCCGGUACAAAGGGUUGCGAUACUGUGAGGUGGAGCUAAUCCCAAAAAGCCGGUCUCAGUUCGGAUUGGGGUCUGCAACUCGACCCCAUGAAGUCGGAGUCGCUAGUAAUCGCAGAUCAGCAACGCUGCGGUGAAUACGUUCCCGGGCCUUGUACACACCGCCCGUCAAGUCACGAAAGUUGGUAACACCCGAAGCCGGUGGCCUAACCCCUUGUGGGAGGGAGCU
rnacentral:rRNA from 1 species